rnacentral:rRNA from 1 species
AAAGCUGGCGUCUUCGGCGUCCGCAUUGUAAUCUCAAGAAGUGUUUUCCGCUUCGGACCAUGCCUAAGUCCCUUGGAAAAGGGCAUCAUAGAGGGUGAUAAUCCCGUACAUGGCAUGGAGCGCCCGAAGCUUUGUGAUACGCUUUCUAAGAGUCGAGUUGUUUGGGAAUGCAGCUCAAAAUGGGUGGUAAAUGCCAUCUAAGGCUAAAUAUUGGGGAGAGACCGAUAGCGAACAAGUACAGUGAUGGAAAGAUGAAAAGAACUUUGAAAAGAGAGUUAAACAGUACGUGAAAUUGCCAAAAGGGAAGGGUAGGAGGUCAGAGAUGCGGCCUGGGAUUCAGCCUUGCUUUUGCUUGGUGUUUUUCCCAGAUUGCAGGCCAACGUCGGUUUUGGGCACUGGAGAAGGGUAGGAGGAACGUGGCACCUCUCGGGGUGUGUUAUAGCCUCCUACUGGAUACAGCGACCGAGACCGAGGACAGCAGCGUACUCGCAAGAGCGGGCCUUCGGGCACCUUUACGCUUAGGGCGUUGGCAUAAUGGCCCUCUACCACC